rnacentral:rRNA from 1 species
AUUGAACGCUGGCGGCAGGCUUAACACAUGCAAGUCGAGCGGGGAAAGGUAGCUUGCUACCUGACCUAGCGGCGGACGGGUGAGUAAUGCUUAGGAAUCUGCCUAUUAGUGGGGGACAACAUCUCGAAAGGGAUGCUAAUACCGCAUACGUCCUACGGGAGAAAGCAGGGGACCUUCGGGCCUUGCGCUAAUAGAUGAGCCUAAGUCGGAUUAGCUAGUUGGUGGGGUAAAGGCCUACCAAGGCGACGAUCUGUAGCGGGUCUGAGAGGAUGAUCCGCCACACUGGGACUGAGACACGGCCCAGACUCCUACGGGAGGCAGCAGUGGGGAAUAUUGGACAAUGGGGGGAACCCUGAGCCAGCCAUGCCGCGUGUGUGAAGAAGGCCUUUUGGUUGUAAAGCACGUUAAGCGAGGAGGAGGCUACCGAGAUUAAUACUCUUGGAUAGUGGACGUUACUCGCAGAAUAAGCACCGGCUAACUCUGUG